rnacentral:rRNA from 1 species
AGAGUUUGAUCCUGGCUCAGAAUGAACGCUGGCGGCGUGCCUAACACAUGCAAGUCGAACGAGAAAGCGGGCUUCGGCCCGUGAGUAAAGUGGCAGACGGGUGAGUAACACGUGGGUAACCUGCCCGGAGGUGGGGGAUAACCCUCCGAAAGGAGGGCUAAUACCGCAUGAUAUCUCGAGCUCUUCGGCGCACGAGAUCAAAGCUGGCCUCUACACGUAAGCCAGUGCCACCGGAGGGACCCGCGUCCCAUUAGCUUGAUGGUGAGGUAACGGCUCACCAUGGCUACGAUGGGUAGCCGGCCUGAGAGGGUGAUCGGCCACACUGGAACUGAGACACGGUCCAGACUCCUACGGGAGGCAGCAGUGAGGAAUUUUGCGCAAUGGGCGAAAGCCUGACGCAGCGACGCCGCGUGGAGGAAGAAGGUCUUCGGAUCGUAAACUCCUGUCAAGAGGGAAGAAUGCCGACGGGAUGAAUAAGCCCGACGGUUGACGGUACCUCUGGAGGAAGCCCCGGCUAACUCCGUGCCAGCAGCCGCGGUAAUACGGAGGGGGCCAGCGUUGUUCGGAAUUAUUGGGCGUAAAGGGCGCGUAGGCGGCCCGGCAAGUCAGUUGUGAAAUCCCUCGGCUCA